ACAGGUAGGCAGCCUUCAAUGGGGGAGGAUCUCUUCACACUUCAUGCUUCUUCUGCUGGAUCUUCUGGUCUAUGGAGGCGUUCGUGGUCUCUUCAGCGCGUUGGUGACGGCAGCACCUGAAGGUCGGUACGUUCCCAUUCCCUCCAGAUGCUGGUGUUUUAUUUUCUGAUUGAUGACGUCUCUCGUCACCAGCUCCUACACACCUCCUCCUCCUCCUCCUGGAUGUGGAAAACAUUCCUAAACUUUAUGUAUUUGAUUAGUGAACUGGUUGAGUUUAGGAGAGUUCAUGAAGACGUUCUUCAGAGGUUUCAGUCCAACCUCAGUUUCUGUUUGUUUUCAGAUGUUUACAUCAAAUACUGUGAAUCAUGAUGGAGUUAGGCUAAAGAGAAUUGAUGUAAACCGAGGUAGUGACCUCACUGGAAAGACCAAAAAAUGUCCACCAAUCCCAACACAAAGAUCCACCAAUCCCAACACAAAGAUCCACCAAUCCCAACAGAUAGAUCCACCAAUCCCAACACAAAGAUCCACCAAUCCCAACACAAAGAUCCACUGAUCACAACAGAUAGAUCCACCAAUCCCAACACAAAGAUCCACCGAUCCCAACACAAAGAUCCACCAAUCACAACAGAUAGAUCCACCAAUCACAACAGAUAGAUCCACCAAUCCCAACACAAAGAUCCACUGAUCACAACAGAUAGAUCCACCAAUCCCAACACAAAGAUCCAGUGAUCACAACAGAUAGAUCCACCAAUCCCAACACAAAGAUCCACCAAUCCCAACACAAAGAUCCACUGAUCACAACAGAUAGAUCCACCAAUCCCAACACAAAGAUCCACCAAUCACAACACAAAGAUCCACCAAUCCCAACACAAAGAUCCACCAAUCACAACACAAAGAAGAGCAGACGAUGAAGGUGUUUUUUUUCAUUGAUUUAGUGAAAAGUUUCAUACAUUUACUGAUGUGGUUAAACUCAACAACCAUCGUUUUUGCCACCAAAGACCCUCAGAGGUCUCCAGGAGCUCCAUCUGCUAAGAUGAGACGAGAUGCAGAUGGAGCUCCUGCAGAUGAAGAAGAAGAAAAUAUCUAAAUACUGAAGAUGAAGAACAAACACUGGAACCUCAACUGAAGGUGGAGAUGAACUCGUUACAGGAGCGCCAGAACCCGACGUUUGAGCCUCCGGGGAGCCAGAGGAGAACCAGAGGGAGGAGGUGCCGUACGGAGGAGGUGCUGUAUGGAGGAGGUGCCGUACAGAGGAGGUGCCGUACGGAGG